GACGAACGCUGGCGGCGUGCUUAACACAUGCAAGUCGAACGAAGAGCGAUGGAAGCUUGCUUCUAUCAAUCUUAGUGGCGAACGGGUGAGUAACGCGUAAUCAACCUGCCCUUCAGAGGGGGACAACAGUUGGAAACGACUGCUAAUACCGCAUACGAUCUAACCUCGGCAUCGAGGAUAGAUGAAAGGUGGCCUCUACAUGUAAGCUAUCACUGAAGGAGGGGAUUGCGUCUGAUUAGCUAGUUGGAGGGGUAACGGCCCACCAAGGCGAUGAUCAGUAGCCGGUCUGAGAGGAUGGACGGCCACAUUGGGACUGAGACACGGCCCAGACUCCUACGGGAGGCAGCAGUGGGGAAUCUUCCGCAAUGGACGAAAGUCUGACGGAGCAACGCCGCGUGAGUGAUGACGGCCUUCGGGUUGUAAAGCUCUGUUAAUCGGGACGAAAGGCCUUCUUGCGAAUAGUGAGAAGGAUUGACG
rnacentral:rRNA from 1 species